UUGUUAGAUUUUGGCGAGCGAACAAGUAUUGAGAUUUGGUAAAGGAGCGAUUAUAGAAAUUUCCAAAGUGAUAAACAAAGUGAGAGGCGAUUUAGAGAGAGUACGUGUAUGUGUGAGGUGUACAGCGUAUUGACAACAGCCAGUCUCUGGCGACUACCUAGUGUACCAUACCUUAAGAAGGCACUCAUCUAACCCACCGAAGUAGGGGUCAGAUGAAAGCAUACUCUUUUCUUCAAAAAUUCAUCAUACGCUCUUUAAAAAAUAUAUUUGUCGAAUUGAAGCACGGCAACGCGAAGAAGUAAGAAAUUUUCGAAUCUACCACUCCCGAAGAAUUUAUGCGUACGGAGAUUGAGAAGAUGAGAGGAACUAUUCCAAGGUUUCGAGAAGAAGUUUGAAGGUUUUCGUUAACCGUGGAAUUGCCGAGAGCCGCGUAGAGAACGUCUGCUUCAAUGGGGGAAUGAAAAGCAGCAGUAAAGGUGCCGUAUGUAAGUAUGUCUUCGCUCUACUAAAGGAACUGAAGUACCCGAUGUUAUCCACAGAGUCUCGGUUUUAUCCCAGAGUCUUGGGAAAGGGGUACUGCAGUACUGCUGUCUGCGUGUGGUUUAACUACGUCUGAUUUUAACGAGCAUCAAACACUGUAAGGCAGUGAUCUUCUCUGCUGGUUACCAGUUUGCCAGUUUGAAAAAUCAGUUUAUGUAAAAAAGUCGUAAUGUUCACGUAAAAAAAAAGAAACACAAUUACAUUUUGCAAGUGCAUUGAUGCACCGGAUUAAGGAGAGGGUCUAAGGGGGACUACAAAUAAGAGCCCCACUUUCUGGGGGCUUGUUCCCUUGGCUAUGUGAAAAAUAUUUAAUUAAAUUUUUCGUAUUGUUGCCCUUUCUCUUUAUAAAUACAUGUUACUUAAUUUUAUUUAGAAUAAAUUUCAAUUUUUGAACCAAGUUUAUUAAGAAAAUUUGAUAGCCCUGGAGCCCCAGAAAUUCUAGUUUGUCCCUGAUUGUAGAGCUUGUUACACGCUGCAAAAUUUUUCUCAAUGAUUUUUUCUAAUUGCAUUUGAAACAGAAAUAUAGCCUGCCCCAGUUGUCAAAUCCACUUUGAAUAAAAAACGCAUAAUUGAUAUCUGAACAUAUAAAAAUAAAGCAAAAAUAUGUUGGGCAAUAUGGUUGGAUAAAAAGAAGAAAAGAUACGAUUGAGUCGUUAAAGUAUUUUCCAGACUCAGAUACGGUAAAGAAAAAUUAAAUUCGUAGGAUAUAAAAUCCUAGUAUACGAUCACACUUUUUCGUUUCUUUGACAUCGGCCGUGGUAUAGGAAACUGAAGUAUCUGGUUUCCAGGAACCAGCAAUUCCAGAAACAGAGAAAAGCCACUUUAUUGGGGAUCCUAUUUGAAAAGGUUCCCCGUCUACCUCCGCACCCUUGAUUGAACAUUCUAGAGGUUACUAGCAAGUGACCCCUGCUAUAGCCUUUCAUUAGUGGGAUACCAAUUGAACCGCUAGCUCUUACGACUUAACACUUUCGACCUUACGUUGGGUCGAUACACUAUAUCAAUAUACAAAUUUUCUUACACCAUAUGAGCUUGGACUUACAAAAUUGUCUGGAAGUUUAUUGUACGAAAGCAUCUACAAAAGUGACGAUAGUAACUUUAGCGGAGUAGCAGUGAAACAUAAAAUUAAUUUACGUUUUUCAAAUACAAUUCGAAGAGAAACUUACUAUAAUUAUAAUAUUCAUACUCAGGAGAAAUAUACCGAGCACAAUACAGAACACUUUUUGGGAAAAAUUGGGAAAAGAAUACUCUUCUACAAAAAUGUAUUUUUUUAUAAGGUUUCAAAAGCUAAAUUGCAAAAUCGAAUUCUGUACAAAAAAUAUUUUUAAAAAAGAAUAAUAAAAAAAUGUUGCUUCUUUGCCUCAAAAUCUUUGAACUAUGAAGUCGUUAAAUUUGAACAUUUUUAUAUCAACAUGGUUGCUUGACUAUCGCGCUGUCCGUGUUUUUCCAUGCAGAAAAGACAAGCAUCGC